GUGGCAGAGUGGUCGAAUGUACCUGACUCGAAAUCAGGCGUACGUUUAUAGCGUACCGUGGGUUCGACAAAUUCGUCAGGAACGAAUUUGGACAGCCGCAGGCUGGCCCGGA
rnacentral:tRNA from 1 species